rnacentral:lncRNA from 1 species
UUUUUUUCUACUGUACAGGAUGGUGACCCAGUUACACAUACAUGUAUACAUUCUUUUUUCUCACAUUACCAUGUUCCACCAUAAGUGACUCCAUCAUAGUUCCCAGUGCUACACAUCACGAUCUCAUUGCUAAUCCAUUCCAAAGGCAACAGUCUGCAUCUAUUAACCCCAAGCUCCCAAUCCAUCCCACUCCCUCCCCCUGCCCCUUGGCAACCACAAGGAGUAAACCAUAAACUAAAAACAAACAAACAAAAACCUAAUUUGCAAUUACCUAUAAACCUCUCCAUCUUUCUCAAAUAACUUUCAGCAAAAGAAAUACAAAGGUUGCAAGAAAAAGAGAGAAAAGAUCAGGUUCAGCAGCAAAAAAUCACAUAGCAAUUCUUAUGCGAUCACAAACUAAAAACAUCUUGGCCACAAAGAGCCACCUUUAAAUGGGAGUCACGUAAUUUAAAAAGACAAUUUGCAUAAGGGAGGCAUUAAUGUUGGCAAACAAUUCUAUGGCCACUGAUGUAAGAAUCUUGGCACAGGUAAUUUCAAUAAAAAGGCUUAAGUAAAGGAAAAUGCAUCUAAUCACAAUCAAAUAAAAAUGCUAUAGAGGAGGUAUUUUGGUAGAAUUCUUUCAAAGCCCUAAAUUUAACCAUAUGAGACUCUUUUCUAAGUAUCAUCCUAGUCAAUCUUUGGGAAUGAAGGAUUUUCUUCUUAAUACUAAACCACAUUUCUUCAUAAAGAUGGACUCCAACCCCCUUUAUUUCAUUAUUCCCCAUGACCACAGACAAUUUCCAUGUUCCAUAUGUAGCAUAUAAGAAAAUCAAUGAUAUAGCUCUCUUCAGCAUGGCAGAGAGCUACAACUAUAUAAAACAAACAACAGUUAAAAAUCUGUUCUCCUCUCCCAAUGAACUGCAUUGCCUACACUAAAUACUCUCAGUGGGGAUAUCACAGCUAACUGUUUCUCAAUGCAUAUAACAGAGAGAUUAAAAAGGAGCAGCUUUAUGAUGUGUGAAUGAUGUGCUUAAAUCAUUUUAUAAACAAGCACUCUGUGGUAGAGGCACAAUUAUUUAAUUGUAGGUUUAAAUGAUAUUACACUAGGCAUUGUUUAAACCUUACUUACCUGGGUUAUACUCAUUUGUUAAUUACACAAACAUUUAUAGAGUUUCUCUAAGUGUCAGGGACUGAGUGAGGUUUCUGCUAUGGAUUUAGGGGUGUGAGUGAAGUUUUGGAGAUUGUAUACCAAGAUGAAUAAGACUUGGCUUCUAGCCUGGAGGAGCACACGCUUAAAUAAAGGAGAGAGACUUAUAAACUUGCAGUUCAGCAAGGAGGAGGUCAAGAGCUCUUCUGAGUCCUUUCGAUAGAUGAAACCUUAACUUUCAAUUUUAUUAAGACAGGACUGUCUGUCAUGGGUCCCAGUAUAAAAACAAUUGGUCAGGUAUUAGUCUUCUUAGUUGAGUCAUCCAACAGAUUAAAGUCACUAGCAGUAGUGUUAUUUUUAGGAGAAAAAGAAAGCAAUUACUUAUGUUCAUUCAUUUUUCAUUCAAAUAACAUUUAGUGAGUAGGUAAUGUAGGUUAAGAAAUGUACUUGGUACUGGGGAUAUAGAUACUGAGGUUAAAGUCUAUAAUAUGACAGAGAGACAUAAAAACUGACUUUCACAUUACAAUGUGGAAAGGGCUAUGGUGGGAGAUAUGUCAGGGACUGUGGGGGCGGGGAGGGCAAAAGGAGAAGCAAUUGAGCCUAGUUGGAGGCAUCAAUGAGAAACUUACAGAAUUAAAACUUGAGAUGGCCUGCAAAGUGGCUGGCCUUUUCUUUAGUUUGGAAGGAGAACUGGUCUUUUCCUCACACUAAACUCUGAAUGAUUUGUUGAUUGCUUUCAUUUCUCCCCCUUUUCUAUAAUUUUUGCCUCAGUUGGCUAUGUCUACCAAGCUUCUUUAUUUUCACAAAUCUGCCCUAUCUUGGGAUAGGGAGAGGAUGGAUGGUAAAAUAGCUUUAACUUGAUGCCAUGGUCUACCUGAACAUCAUCUGAUUUCUCUGUUUUAUUUCAUUGAUUAUACUUCUUACAUCUGAACUAUAUAUUUGUGUUACUUUUAUGUCUUCUCCAUUCAUUUUUUUCUGGCUUGCAUUCCUCACUACUGAAAUGACUAUUUUCUUGAAGACUGUUAAUUACUAGCAAUGCACUGAAGGGUUUUCUAGUCCUCAUAUUGCAGUUAUUACAUAUGAGUCAGAAUUUUGACUUUAUAUUGACAAAUAAUUCAGAGAGAUUAUUUGAUGUGACAGAGAUUACAAAAUUACCAAGUGGCUGAACCAAGAUAUAGAUUGGCAUUUAUCUGCCUGCAAAAUUCAGAGGUCUUCUUUCCUCCUAUUAAUUAUUGUCCUCAGUUACAUUUGAUAUUUUAACUUUCCUCUUUGUGGAGAACAUCUGGUUUUGCUGGUCUGAAAUCUAUUCCUUUUAAAUUUUGAAUAGCAUUCAAUAUUCCUCUGGAGACCCACCUAUCAUUCUCAUUUCUCAUGGUUGAAAUGUGGCAGGUCUUAUUCACCCUCAGACCUACACGUAAGCACACAAAAGAAAGCAAACAUAUGAAGUUUUUUGUUUUUGUUUUUUUUAAAUUAACUUGCUGAAAAUAACAAUUUAUAUGAUUGCUAAAGCCCUGUCCUCUUUCCACUAUACUGUGAUGAGCUAGUGCUUGGCUGGUGUUUUCCCAACUGAAGCCUUUAGCGCACAAUUUACAUGGCCAGCAGCCACCAGAAAUAAGUCACAAGCUGGCCUAUUCUCGGCAAUGAUUUCACGUUUCUAAUUUUCCUUCUGCCUGUUGCCAUUCUAUACUUGGUUCUAGUGUCUACCAGACUCAUGAUCUUUUGGAUUUUAAUUUAUGGUGAAUAAAUAUCAUUCCUGAAAGCCUAAGAGUUAUAGACUUUAAAAUUCUCCAAGGACAUGUUCUUGUUUUGUUUUUGUUUUCUUAUUUAUCUGUUAGAUUGUCCCCGUCUUGGAUAACUCACAGCACUUACUAACCUAAGAUCCAGCCUUCAGGUACCCAAACCUAGCCCUAAUUUAUUUGGCCAAUACCCAGGUUGGCUAUCCAGACGCCUCAAAAGAGGAUACAAUCCAGAGAUGGAAUCACAUCUGUCUUUCCAUCUAUGAGAUAGAAUAUCAGGGAAAACAAUGAGGUCCUGUUAACCUUUGGAUCUCCCAUUUUCUAACACCAUGCUUUACACAUGGUAAUUAUUCUGUAAAUCUUUGAUAUACUAGGCCUACUAGACCUCGUAUGUUUAAAGAUCGUAACCUUAGAGUUUCACUGUUAACUGUGCCAGGCAUUCUCCCUCUAACUUAGAAGGAAUCAAGGUUUCCCUUACAUAUAAACUAGAAAUGCUGAUUGAAACAGUCUAUUAAAGGCUAUAACAUUUUAAUACACUCAAGUGAAUA